CCUGUGAUAUGACGAUUUAGUAUGUAAGUUCGUUUGUGUGUCCAAAUAGGGCACCAGUCGCUGUCCCGGAGUUGGGUCGUGACAAAUAUUAAAAACAAGACACCUUUUGUUAAAUCUUCACAACAAUCUAUGAUCAAGUCCUAGGAUUUUCAAGAGAACUCAUCAAGGUUCAACGAUGGAUUUUUGGGAUUCUUCUUCAUUGUUAGAGUUUUAAUUGGAGUGAUUCAAGGAAUGAUCUUGUGUGUUGAACAUCUUUAAAACAUGAGACACAUGAGGUCUCAGUGUACCCUGCAUUGAAGAGUUCAGAAUUACAAUUAUUCUUCUCCUACGUUGAGGCAAAUUUCAAGAUUCUUAUGUCAGUCUUUAAAUUUGAAGAUAUGCUCUUUAAAACGUUGUGAAUCUAUGAUAUUUUUUUCUUCAGAAAAUGUAUCGAAAAGAAAAAUAAAAAGCAAACUUUUUCCACACAAUGAGAAACUUUCAAAGUUUGUGCUCUUCUUAAUAUAGAA